rnacentral:rRNA from 1 species
AUUGAACGCUGGCGGCAUGCCUUACACAUGCAAGUCGAACGGCAGCACGGGAGCAAUCCUGGUGGCGAGUGGCGAACGGGUGAGUAAUACAUCGGAACGUGCCCUGUAGUGGGGGAUAACUAGUCGAAAGACUAGCUAAUACCGCAUACGACCUGAGGGUGAAAGUGGGGGACCGCAAGGCCUCAUGCUAUAGGAGCGGCCGAUGUCUGAUUAGCUAGUUGGUGGGGUAAAGGCCUACCAAGGCGGCGAUCAGUAGCUGGUCUGAGAGGACGAUCAGCCACACUGGGACUGAGACACGGCCCAGACGCCUACGGGAGGCAGCAGUGUGGAAUUUUGGACAAUGGGGGCAACCCUGAUCCAGCAUUGCCGCGUGUGUGAAGAAGGCCUUCGGGUUGUAAAGCACUUUUGUCCGGAAAGAAAUCGCUUCGGUUAAUACCUGGAGUGGAUGACGGUACCGGAAGAAUAAGGACCGGCUAACUACGUGCCAGCCGCCGCCGUAAGAC